AGCUGGGCCAGCCCAUUCAAACCGCAGGGAGUUUCAAAUGGCUGUGUCCCCUAGGGACUGGGCUUAGCAAGCCCAGGGGGAAAAGUCAGCAUUCAAAUGGCUUCGAUGACGAUGACGCAGAGGAAGCCAAGAGGACGCUGUCAAAGCCUAGUCAUCAUUGACUCGAAAUUUCACUGGACCAUCUCAUGGAUACCAAAUCUUCCUCUACCACCUUGAUGAGCCCCACUUCCUCCCCUCAGAGCAGAAGGAACACUUGGGACUAGAAGCCGCUUGUAUAAUUUCUUUGUCACUCAUUUUGUUUCCCAGUCUUGGGAUUUUGUGUGCUUCAGCUUUCUCCCUUCCUCCCUUCCUCUCUUUCUUCUCCUCUCCCCACCCCCCAACCCCAGGAAUUCACUCUGUAACCACGGGAGGGAGAAGAGUUUGGCUGCUAUGUGAUGAAGGGAGUCUGAGAUACAGGCUCCCAGUCCUCUCCUCAAAUCACCAUUAAGAAAUCACUCCUCUCCCAGCCUGAUUCUUCUUCCUGGGGAAGCACUAAUUCGGAGUGGAAUAAGUCAGAAAUGCUGGAGCAGAAGUUCUUCCACAUGGAGGAACUGUCAGGAGUGAGGGGGAAUCUUUACAGAUCCUAAUAAUAUGCAUAAAGCAACAUGAUGCUUGGCACACAAGAAACACCAAGUAAAAGCUCUUAGCUGG
rnacentral:lncRNA from 1 species